GUGAAAAUCUUAAGAGUGAAUUGAAUGAUAUACCGCUUUGGGGUUUGCUCGCAGCAUAAGAAGGUCCGAUCUCUGUUUGCACAAAGGCAUUCAAUCCUUCCUCCUCCAAAUGCUGCGUUUCGGUCGAUCUCUGAGUUAAGCAAAGAGAGUGGGAGACAGCAUUGCAAUCAAAAUGUGGUUUUCUUUUAUUUUUCAUCGCUUUCUUAGUAACCAAGCAGAGGGGUCGGAUGUCACUUGAUUAAACCAUAUUGCCUGUAUAUAGAAGCUACACAAACUCUUCAAACCAAUCAAGACAUUGAAGCAACACCAGCUCAGUUCACUUCAGAUCCCCAUUUUUACAGUUCACUCCAAUAUAAUCUUCCAUGGCUUCCACUGCUUCAAGAUCUGGAGGUGCCAUCUUUGCUAGCACAGAGUGUGUGAAUGCAGAAUUUUAUCAAUUGCAUAUGGUGCUAUUGUGUGUCAACUGCUUAUGGAUCUGGAAGAGGUUGAAGAAGUCAACAAACAGCUCAAUCAAAUAAUGUGGGUGUUGGUUAAUGUUCCAGUUUUGGUAUGUAUGAUCUCCUCUGUGCUUUGCAAACUCAUGAUAAAGACGGAAUGCGAGUGUGGCAAUUUUAUCCAUGACUGAAAUGACUUAAGGUGUGAAGGCCCCAUAGGACAUUUGUUAGAGAUUUCCUUUGUUGUAAAGUACUCAGAAAGGAAAAGAAGCACAGGGAUAAUUUGAGAAAAGUUCCCUUUUAGGCAUAGAUCCCUUGUUGUCGUGCUGAGUUUUUGUGACUAUUAGAUCCAGCAUGGAAAUGCAUCCUGAUGAAAAAAGGAGAUCAAAGUUUAUGUUCAUAUGAUUGUACCUCCUUCAGAUCAUUCCUGAGAGAUGGAAGGAUUAAAUGGAUCCAACCCUUGAAAGACUGAGAACUGGCAUUGUUUCAAAACUAUGUGGCUUCAAGAGGAGAUCUCACAAGAAGCCUUGAAGCAUCAUGUUUUAAAGAGGAACUGCUUUGAGGAUUGCCUUUUUUCCUUUUAUUUUAUUUAUGUAUUUAUUGGAUAUUCAGUUCAGUUCAGCAUUGCACCCAAAGAGAAGAAAAAAAAUUCAGUCCACCAUAUGCUUCCAGAGAUAGGCUUCUUUAGAAGUUGGCUAUUUCUAGCUAACCUCGAGACUCCUUUUUUUGUAAUUUGUUAUGCACUUUCAGCCUAUCAAAAAACCUAUUCAUUAUCAUGCCUUUUCAUGCA